CAGAGUCUGGUCUCUGGACACUAUGGGCACACGACUCCUCCCAGCUCUGUUUCUUGUCCUCCUGGUAUUGGGAUUUGGUCCAGGGGACCCAACAGCCCCAGCAAGAUGAGAUGCCUAGCCCGACCUUCCUCACCCAGGUGAAGGAAUCUCUCUCCAGUUACUGGGAGUCAGCAAAGACAGCCGCCCAGAACCUGUACGAGAAGACAUACCUGCCCGCUGUAGAUGAGAAACUCAGGGACUUGUACAGCAAAAGCACAGCAGCCAUGAGCACUUACACAGGCAUUUUUACUGACCAAGUUCUUUCUGUGCUGAAGGGAGAGGAGUAACAGCCAGACCCCCCAUCAGUGGACAAGGGGAGAGUCCCCUACUCCCCUGAUCCCCCAGGUUCAGACUGAGCUCCCCCUUCCCAGUAGCUCUUGCAUCCUCCUCCCAACUCUAGCCUGAAUUCUUUUCAAUAAAAAAUACAAU
rnacentral:lncRNA from 1 species